UCUUUUGUAACUCGGUGAACCAGAAUACAGGUAGCCUAAGUAGUCUUCGGCACAAACAUUCCUAUAAAAAGUGUCGUUUGAAUUAUUAUUUUCACAGACCAAGUUGAGUCGUCUCUAGCAGCGGUACAGCUCAAUCUUCAAAACUCGACUUAAUUCUUUUUUAAAGAUCCUGAAAAUGACUUGUAAAAUUGCCAUUUAUUGUCUUCUUCUUGUAGCCUUGAUUGGAUUGGUAUCGGCAGCUCCACCAACUGGAAGAUCGCAAGGUUUUAAACAUUAUUGUGAAAAGAAAACGACCAGCAGUGGAAAUACGCAAUUUUUUUGGGGAUAUGAAACAGUACAACUCCCUUCCGACUGGGAAGGAUCGACUGAGGAAUCAAGCUCGAUCAGCAAAGACGGAACAACUACUUAUGUCAAUUCUUGGUAUCAACUGACUAAAGAAACAAAAAUUAAAUGCGAAAAUUUAAAAUACAUUUAAAACGAGAAAUACAAAACUCUUUAUCACAUA